rnacentral:rRNA from 1 species
GCUUAGCCCUAAACCUAAAUAAUUAAAUAACAAAAUUAUUUGCCAGAGAACUACUAGCAACAGCUUAAAACUCAAAGGACUUGGCGGUACUUUAUAUCCAUCUAGAGGAGCCUGUUCUAUAAUCGAUAAACCCCGCUAUACCUCACCAUCUCUUGCUAAUUCAGCCUAUAUACCGCCAUCUUCAGCAAACCCUAAAAAGGCACUUAAGUAAGCACAAGAAUAACCAUAAAAACGUUAGGUCAAGGUGUAGCCAAUGAGAUGGGAAGAAAUGGGCUACAUUUUCUUUACUAAGAACAAACGAACCCCUUUAUGAAACUAAAGGGCGAAGGAGGAUUUAGUAGUAAAUUAAGAAUAGAGAGCUUAAUUG